AAACUGAGGAUAAUACUGGAUAGGCAAUUUUUCCUGUAAUGGUUUUUUGUUUAAAUGUUUUUUCGCCUAAGGAUGGGUCUGCGGCCGAUUAGGUAGUUGGUUAGGUAACGGCUUACCAAGCCGUUGAUCGGUACGGGUUGUGAGAGCAAGAGCCCGGAGAUGGAACCUGAGACAAGGUUCCAGGCCCUACGGGGUGCAGCAGGCGCGAAACCUCCGCAAUGUGAGAAAUCGCGACGGGGGGAUCCCAAGUGCCAUUCUUAACGGGAUGGCUUUUCAUUAGUGUAAAAAGCUUUUGGAAUAAGAGCUGGGCAAGACCGGUGCCAGCCGCCGCGGUAACACCGGCAGCUCUAGUGGUAGCAAUUUUUAUUGGGCCUAAAGCGUCCGUAGCCGGUUUAAUAAGUCUCUGGUGAAAUCCUGUAGCUUAACUGUGGGAAUUGCUGGAGAUACUAUUAGACUUGAGACCGGGAGAGGUUAGAGGUACUCCCAGGGUAGAGGUGAAAUUCUGUAAUCCUGGGAGGACCGCCUGUUGCGAAGGCGUCUAACUGGAACGGUUCUGACGGUGAGGGACGAAAGUUAGGGGCGCGAACCGGAUUAGAUACCCGGGUAGUCCUAACUGUAAACGAUGCGGACUUGGUGUUGGGGUGGCUUUGAGCUGCUCCAGUGCCGAAGGGAAGCUGUUAAGUCCGCCGCCUGGGAAGUACGGUCGCAAGACUGAAACUUAA
rnacentral:rRNA from 1 species